rnacentral:rRNA from 1 species
CAGAGGUGGCUAGCGUUGUUCGGAAUUACUGGGCGUAAAGGGAGCGCAGGCGGCUAAAUUAGUCUGAAGUGCAAGCCCGGGGCUCAACCCCGGAAUUGCUUUGGAUACUGUUUGGCUUGAGUAUGUCAGAGGUGAGCGGAAUUCCAGGUGUAGCGGUGAAAUGCGUAGAUAUCUGGAGGAACAUCGGUGGCGAAAGCGGCUCACUGGGACAAAACUGACGCUGAGGCUCGAAAGCGUGGGGAGCGAACGGGAUUAGAUACCCCGGUAGUCCACGCUGUAAACGUUGUGCACUAGGUGUGAGGGGUGUCUACCCCCUUCGUGCCGUAGCUAACGCAUUAAGUGCACCGCCUGGGGAGUACGGUCGCAAGACUG